AUUGAACGCUGGCGGCAUGCCUUACACAUGCAAGUCGAACGGCAGCACGGGGGCAACCCUGGUGGCGAGUGGCGAACGGGUGAGUAAUGCAUCGGAACGUGCCCAGUAGUGGGGGAUAACCCGGCGAAAGCCGGGCUAAUACCGCAUACGACCUACGGGUGAAAGCGGGGGACCGUAAGGCCUCGCGCUAUUGGAGCGGCCGAUGUCUGAUUAGCUAGUUGGCGGGGUAAAGGCCCACCAAGGCGACGAUCAGUAGCUGGUCUGAGAGGACGCAGAGCCACACGGGGACUGAGACACGGCCCAGCCUCCUACGGGAGGCAGCAGAGGGGAAUUUUGGACAAUGGGCGCAAGCCUGAUCCAGCCAUGCCGCGUGCGGGAAGAAGGCCUUCGGGUUGUAAACCGCUUUUGGCAGGAACGAAACGGCGCAAGCCAAUACCUUGCGCUAAUGACGGUACCUGCAGAAUAAGCACCGGCUAACUACGUGCCAGCAGCCGCGGUAACAC
rnacentral:rRNA from 1 species